UGGGGGAUCUUGCGCUAAUGCGCGAAAGCGUGACGCAGCGACGCCGCGUGGGGGAUGAAAGCCCUCGGGUUGUAAACCCCUUUCGGCAGGGACGAAGCGAAAGUGACGGUACCUGCAGAAGAAGUCCCGGCUAACUACGUGCCAGCAGCCGCGGUAACACGUAGGGGGCGAGCGUUGUCCGGAUUCAUUGGGCGUAAAGCGCGCGUAGGCGGCUCGGAAAGUCGGUCGUGAAAGGCCGGGGCUCAACCCCGGGACUGCGUCCGAUACUUCCGAGCUGGAGGCAGGUAGGGGAGAUCGGAAUUCCUGGUGUAGCGGUGAAAUGCGCAGAUAUCAGGAGGAACACCGGUGGCGAAGGCGGAUCUCUGGGCCUUGCCUGACGCUGAGGCGCGAAAGCUAGGGGAGCGAACAGGAUUAGAUACCCUGGUAGUCCUAGCCGUAAACGUUGGGUGCUAGGUGUGGGCGGACGAUCGACCCCGUCCGUGCCGAAGCUAACGCAUUAAGCA
rnacentral:rRNA from 1 species